CCCAACAUCCUCGAUUCUCAAACAUUUGUAAGAAAAGAAAAACAGUGAGAGGCAGCUAAGCUAUGGUGGGGGUGCAAAAGGGAUGUUGGGAAGUGAAGAGGGGUAGUGUGGUUCCAAAGAGAAGGCGGCUAGUGAAGAUACAUAUGUUAAACACCAUAGUCCACUCUAUUGCUUUUCUUUGUACUUCCGAUCCUAACCAUAAUUCCAAUACUGUUGCACGCUCCUCCCGUAAUUAGUGGAAUAGACACAAGCAAAAGUGGGGAUCAUACCAUUACCAUUCACUUUUACUCCUCAAGUUUCAAUCUCUAUUAAUGUCCGCUAAAGUUUGACUUGUUUGUGAUCAAUUAUCUAUUAUUCAUUGUAUGAUAAAGUUACAUCUAUCUUCGUCUCUAAGCUUUUUUUAUCUUGAUAAUAAUAAAAGAAUUAGUUAGAUUUCAAAA
rnacentral:lncRNA from 1 species